rnacentral:rRNA from 1 species
GGAGAAAAGCAGGGGAUCGCAAGACCUUGCGCUCAUUGAGCGGCCGAUGCCUGAUUAGCUAGUUGGUGAGGUAAAGGCUUACCAAGGCGACGAUCAGUAGCUGGUCUGAGAGGACGACCAGCCACACUGGGACUGAGACACGGCCCAGACUCCUACGGGAGGCAGCAGUGGGGAAUUUUGGACAAUGGGGGAAACCCUGAUCCAGCCAUGCCGCGUGAGUGAAGAAGGCCUUCGGGUCGUAAAGCUCUUUCAGCCGGAACGAAACGGUCACGGUUAAUACCUGUGACUACUGACGGUACCGGAAGAAGAAGCACCGGCUAACUACGUGCCAGCAGCCGCGGUAAUACGUAGGGUGCGAGCGUUAAUCGGAAUUACUGGGCGUAAAGCGUGCGCAGGCGGUUUUGUAAGUCAUAAGGGAAAUCCCCGGGCUUAACCUGGGAACUGCGUUUAUAAAAGGAGGCUAGAAGGGC